rnacentral:rRNA from 1 species
AUUGAACGCUGGCGGCAGGCCUAAUACAUGCAAGUCGAACGUACAUAAGAGAAGCUUGCUUUUCUUGAUGACGAGUGGCGACGGGUGAGUAAGAUUUGGGAAACUACCUGAUAGAGGGGGACAACAGUUGGAAACGACUGCUAAUACCGCAUACAGCCUCAGGGUGAAAGAAGCGAUUCGCUAUCAGAUGUGCCCAAACGGGAUUAGCUAGUAGGUGAGGUAAAGGCUCACCUAGGCGACGAUCUCUAGCUGGUCUGAGAGGAUGAUCAGCCACAUUGGGACUGAGACACGGCCCAGACUCCUACGGGAGGCAGCAGUAGGGAAUAUUGCACAAUGGAGGAAACUCUGAUGCAGCCAUGCCGCGUGUGUGAAGAAGGCCUUCGGGUUGUAAAGCACUUUCGGAGGGGAGGAAAAAAUGACGUUACCCUCAGAAGAAGCACCGGCUAACUCCGUG